UGAGUAAUGUCUGGGAAACUGCCUGAUGGAGGGGGAUAACUACUGGAAACGGUAGCUAAUACCGCAUAACGUCGCAAGACCAAAGAGGGGGACCUUCGGGCCUCUUGCCAUCAGAUGUGCCCAGAUGGGAUUAGCUAGUAAGGUGGGGUAAUGCUCCCCCCUAGGCGACGAUCCCUAGCUGGUCUGAGAGGAUGACCAGCCACACUGGAACUGAGACACGGUCCAGACUCCUACGGGAGGCAGCAGUGGGGAAUAUUGCACAAUGGGCGCAAGCCUGAUGCAGCCAUGCCGCGUGUGUGAAGAAGGCCUUCGGGUUGUAAAGCACUUUCAGCGAGGAGGAAGGUGGUGAACUUAAUACGUUCAUCAAUUGACGUUACUCGCAGAAGAAGCACCGGCUAACUCCGUGCCAGCAGCCGCGGUAAUACGGAGGGUGCAAGCGUUAAUCGGAAUUACUGGGCGUAAAGCGCACGCAGGCGGUUUGUUAAGUCAGAUGUGAAAUCCCCGGG
rnacentral:rRNA from 1 species